rnacentral:rRNA from 1 species
GAGACCUACGGGGCGCAGCAGUGGGGAAUAUUGGGCAAUGGGCGCAAGCCUGACCCAGCAACGCCGCGUGAAGGAAGAAGGCUUUCGGGUUGUAAACUUCUUUUCUUGGGGACGAAGAAAGUGACGGUACCCAAGGAAUAAGCCACGGCUAACUACGUGCCAGCAGCCGCGGUAAUACGUAGGUGGCAAGCGUUAUCCGGAUUUAUUGGGUGUAAAGGGCGUGUAGGCGGGAAUGCAAGUCAGAUGUGAAAACUACGGGCUCAACCCAUAGCCUGCAUUUGAAACUGUAUUUCUU